AGUUAAAAAAAAAGAUUUUCUUUUAGUUUAAUAUUAAAUACUACACUACAACGAACAAAAAAAGAAUUCCGUUGAUCACGAACUGUAAUAUAAUCUCAUUCAAUUGCGACUGACACAUCAAUUCGUUCUGUUCUUCUACGGCGGUAUCGUCUUCUAAGUUGUUUCGUUGCGUGUCUCUUGUGUCCAGACGCGGAGAUCUGCCCUUCACCAUGCGCCGCAUCGUGAGCCGCUCGGGAAUCGAGAGCGACGAAGACCCGGAGGCCAAGACCGAGACCCCCGAACCCAAACCUGAGUGAAAGAAGACGGACCGCAGCGUCCCUUCACACACACACACACACACACACACACACACACACACACACACACACACACACACACACACACACACACACACACACACACACACACACACACACGCACA